AUUGAACGCUGGCGGCAGGCCUAACACAUGCAAGUCGAGCGGCAGCACAGAGAUUGCUCCUGCAUUCGGCGGCGGACGGGCGGGUGAUGGCUAGGAAUAUGCCAGGCUGUGGGGGCUUGGGUGAGAACGCGGGCACACAUACGCUAUUAGUGCUGAGGGCGUACGGGUGGGAGCUUCGGAUCUCCCGAUCUCACACGAGCCUAGGUCGGAUUAGCUAGUUGGUGGGGUAAAGGCCUACCAAGGCGACGAUCCGUAACUGGUCUGAGAGGAUGAUCAGCCACACUGGAACUGAGACACGGUCCAGACUCCUACGGGAGGCAGCAGUGGGGAAUAUUGGACAAUGGGCGAAAGCCUGAUCCAGCCAUGCCGCGUGUGUGAAGAAGGUCUUCGGGUUGUAAAGCACUUUAAUUUGGGAAGAAGAGCAGUAAGUUAAUACCCUGCUGUUUUGACGGUACCAACAGAAUAAGCACCGGCUAACUUCGUG
rnacentral:rRNA from 1 species